CUGUCCUUAGCUCAGUUGGAUAGAGCAACGGCCUUCUAAGCCGUAGGUCACUGGUUCGAUCCCAGUAGGACAGACCA
rnacentral:tRNA from 1 species